CCGCAAGGAGGACGGUCACCACGGUAGGAUUCAUGACUGGGGUGAAGUCGUAACAAGGUAGCCGUAUCGGAAGGUGCGGCUGGAUCACCUCCUUUA
rnacentral:rRNA from 1 species